rnacentral:rRNA from 1 species
GACAGAGGGUGCGAACGUUGCUCGGAAUCACUGGGCGUAAAGCGCGUGUAGGCGGACGAUCAAGUCAGGUGUGAAAUCCCUGGGCUCAACCCAGGAACUGCAUCUGAAACUGGUUGCCUUGAGUGUUGGAGAGGGAAGCGGAAUUCCUGGUGUAGAGGUGAAAUUCGUAGAUAUCAGGAGGAACACCGGUGGCGAAGGCGACUUCCUGGACAAUUACUGACGCUGAGACGCGAAAGCGUGGGGAGCAAACAGG